UUUCUCGACGUGUGUUCUCUUUCCUCACUUUUCUUUGUUUUCAUCCAAAUGGGAGGGCGUCACCGUCUCACCAACGACGGGCGAUCGGUGAGGCUGCAAAUCUCUUCUCCUCUGCUGCAGAUCAGCCAAUGCCCAAGGUAGUGCUUGAAGAAAUGGAAAACGAAAUGAAAAAUCAGGCGCUUUCAGGCAAAGGAGAAUGUACAUCUGAAGAACUUGAUCAUGGAGCAAAUCUGGUAGCCUGUAAGGAUGAACGAUCUUGCAUGCAGCUACAGGAUUGCAUGCCAAAGGGGGCUCGGCGGGUAGCAGACAUGUGCUUAAGGACGUUUGCUUUGUGAGAUAUAAUCGGGCCUUUUCUUCUAGAGUAUAGUCUGAUUGCUUGUUUGAUUGUGACAUGCCUAUAGGUUGCCUUCUAGAAUGGUGAACCUCAUGAUGUAUGCAUAACUCAUACUGGAACUACACAUAGUUUUACAUUGCAUGCACUGUAAAAUUAUGGAUAUUGGAUGCCAUAUGCAACCAAAAAAACCAGUUAUUGUAACAUACGUACUUCCGUCAGGUGUACGUUUGCAUGCAGAUGGUGCUCUCCAUAUAAAGUAUGCUCUGAGCUCUUUGAA